CCUCCUGUAGCUCAGUGGUAGAGCGUCUGACCGGUAUGCGGAAGGUCAUAGGUUCAACUCCUUGUUGGGAGGA
rnacentral:tRNA from 1 species